AACGCUAGCUACAGGCUUAACACAUGCAAGUCGAGGGGCAGCAUGAACUUAGCUUGCUAAGUUCGAUGGCGACCGGCGCACGGGUGCGUAACGCGUAUCCAACCUUCCCGUUACUCAGGGAUAGCCUUCCGAAAGGGAGAUUAAUACCUGAUGGUGUUCGAAUUCCGCAUGACAUUUGAACUAAAGAUUCAUCGGUAACGGAUGGGGAUGCGUUCCAUUAGCUUGUUGGCGGGGUAACGGCCCACCAAGGCUACGAUGGAUAGGGGUUCUGAGAGGAAGGUCCCCCACACUGGAACUGAGACACGGUCCAGACUCCUACGGGAGGCAGCAGUGAGGAAUAUUGGUCAAUGGCCGAGAGGCUGAACCAGCCAAGUAGCGUGAAGGAUGAAGGUUCUAUGGAUUGUAAACUUCUUUUAUACGGGAAUAACACCACCUACGUGUAGGUGUCUGCAUGUACCGUAUGAAUAAGCAUCGGCUAACUCCGUGCCGGCAGCCGCGGUAAUACGGAGGAUGCGAGCGUUAUCCGGAUUUAUUGGGUUUAAAGGGAGCGUAGACGGGACGUUAAGUCAGUUGUGAAAGGCUGCGGCUCAACCGCAGCACUGCAGUUGAUACUGUCGUCCUUGAGUGCGGUUGAGGUGCGUGGAAUUCGUGGUGUAGCGGUGAAAUGCUUAGAUAUCACGAAGAACUCCGAUUG
rnacentral:rRNA from 1 species